UGGGGAAUAUUGGGGCAAUGGGCGAAAGCCUGACCCAGCAACGCCGCGUGAGGGAAGAAGGGUUUCGGCUCGUAAACCUCUGUCCUAUGGGACGAAAGAGAUGACGGUACCAUAGGAGGAAGCCCCGGCUAACUACGUGCCAGCAGCCGCGGUAAUACGUAGGGGGCGAGCGUUGUCCGGAAUGAUUGGGCGUAAAGGGCGCGUAGGCGGCCCGUUAAGUCUGGAGUGAAAGUCCUGCUUUCAAGGUGGGAAUUGCUUUGGAUACUGAUGGGCUGGAGUGCAGGAGAGGAAAGCGGAAUUACCGGUGUAGCGGUGAAAUGCAUAGAUAUCGCGCAGAACUCCGAUUGCGAAGGCAGCCUUCCAUGUCGUAACUGACGCUGAGGCACGAAAGCGUGGGGAUCGAACAGGAUUAGAUACCCUGGUAGU
rnacentral:rRNA from 1 species